rnacentral:lncRNA from 1 species
UCCACGGGCAGACAGCUCCCCCAUCAAAUGUACCUUCCAACUGGAAACCUCAGCCUUGGCUCCACGGGAAGUCACACCUUCCUGAUCCCAGGUUCUGUGUGUGUCACUAAUGCCUGACCUCGAGGCAGCCAGAACCUGGAAGGGAUCAUCAAGAUGUGGACAAAAAACCUCCAGGAGAAGCCUCAUAGUAGAACUAACUAAUGCGAGAGGAGGUUUGGCUAAAGAAGAAGAAAUAGGAGAUGUGACAAUGGAAGCACAAUGUUGGAGUGAUGCGAUGACAGGGACAAGAGCCAAGGAAUGUGGUCAGCCUCCAGAAGCUAGAAAAUGCAAGGAAACAGAUUCUCCUCUAGAGCCCCCAGAAGGAACCAGCCCCGCCACCAUGUUGACUCUAACUCCACUGAAACUCAGUUUCCAAGUUUUGGCCUCCAGAAAAGGAAGGAAAAAAACUUGUGAUAUUUACAGCAACUAGGUUUGUAGUAAUUUAUUGCAGUAGCCAUAGGAAACUA